rnacentral:rRNA from 1 species
GGAUCUGCCGAAUGGAGGGGGACAACAGUUGGAAACGACUGCUAAUACCGCAUAAUGUCGCGAGACCAAAGCAUGGGACCUUAGGGCCAUGCGCCAUUUGAUGAACCCAUAUGGGAUUAGCUAGUAGGUGAGGUAAUGGCUCACCUAGGCGACGAUCUCUAGCUGGUCUGAGAGGAUGACCAGCCACACUGGGACUGAGACACGGCCCAGACUCCUACGGGAGGCAGCAGUGGGGAAUAUUGCACAAUGGGGGAAACCCUGAUGCAGCCAUGCCGCGUGUAUGAAGAAGGCCUUCGGGUUGUAAAGUACUUUCGGUAGCGAGGAAGGGGUUAUAUCUAAUAGGUGUAACCAUUGACGUUAACUACAGAAGAAGCACCGGCUAACUCCGUGCCAGCAGCCGCGGUAAUACGGAGGGUGCGAGCGUUAAUCGGAAUGACUGGGCGUAAAGGGCAUGUAGGCGGAUAGUUAAGUUAGGUGUGAAAGCCCCGGGCUCAACCUGGGAAUUGCAUUUAAAACUGGUUAUCUGGAGUAUUGUAGAGGAAGGUAGAAUUCCAUGUGUAGCGGUGAAAUGCGUARAGAUGUGGAGGAAUACCGGUGGCGAAGGCNGCCUUCUGGACCAAUACUGACGCUGAGAUGCGAAAGCGUGGGG